rnacentral:rRNA from 1 species
GACGAACGCUGGCGGCGUGCCUAAUACAUGCCAGUCGAACGCUUCUUUCCUCCCGAGUGCUUGCACUCAAUUGGAAAGAGGAGUGGCGGACGGGUGAGUAACACGUGGGUAACCUACCCAUCAGAGGGGGAUAACACUUGGAAACAGGUGCUAAUACCGCAUAACAGUUUAUGCCGCAUGGCAUAAGAGUGAAAGGCGCUUUCGGGUGUCGCUGAUGGAUGGACCCGCGGUGCAUUAGCUAGUUGGUGAGGUAACGGCUCACCAAGGCCACGAUGCAUAGCCGACCUGAGAGGGUGAUCGGCCACACUGGGACUGAGGCACGGCCCAGACUCCUACGGGAGGCAGCAGUAGGGAAUCUUCGGCAAUGGACGAAAGUCUGACCGAGCAACGCCGCGUGAGUGAAGAAGGUUUUCGGAUCGUAAAACUCUGUUGUUAGAGAAGAACAAGGACGUUAGUAACUGAACGUCCCCUGACGGUAUCUAACCAGAAAGCCACGGCUAACUACGUG